GGAAAACUUACCAGGUCAAAACUAUGGCGGGAUUGACAGAUUGAUAGCUCUUUCUUGAUUCGUGGGGUGGUGGUGCAUGGCCGUUCUUAGUUGGUGGAGUGAUUUGUCUGGUUAAUUCCGAUAACGAACGAGACUCUGUCCUGCUAAAUAGUGUCUGCUUCUCUUUUGAGCAGACAUUGAGCAAUAA
rnacentral:rRNA from 1 species